rnacentral:rRNA from 1 species
CGGGGUGGAGUAAUGUCUGGGAAACUGCCUGAUGGAGGGGGAUAACUACUGGAAGCGGUAGCUAAUACCGCAUAACGUCGCAAGACCAAAGAGGGGACCUUCGGGCCUCUUGCCAUCGGAUGUGCCCAGAUGGGAUUAGCUAGUAGGUGGGGUAACGGCUCACCUAGGCGACGAUCCCUAGCUGGUCUGAGAGGAUGACCAGCCACACUGGAACUGAGACACGGUCCAG